rnacentral:rRNA from 1 species
GGCAAAGUUAAUAAGGGCGCACGGUGGAUGCCUUGGCACUAAGAGCCGAUGAAGGACGUGACUAACGACGAUAUUCUAGGGGGAGCAGUAAGUACGCAUUGAUCCCUAGGUCUCCGAAUGGGGAAACCCAGCUGCUACUAGCAGUUAUUCAUGAGUGAAUACAUAGCUCAUGUAAAGGUAACGCAGAGAACUGAAACAUCUAAGUACCUGCAGGAAGAGAAAGUAAAAACGAUUUCGUAAGUAGCGGCGAGCGAACGCGAAGAAGGGCAAACCAAGAAGCUUGCUUCUUGGGGUUGUAGGACUGCAACGUGGACUUAAGCAUUAUAGUCGAAUAACCUGGGAAGGUUAAUCAAAGAGGGUAAUAAUCCCGUAGACGAAAUAGCGCUUAUACCUAGCAGUAUCCUGAGUAGGGCUGGACACGCGAAAUCCAGUUUGAAUCCGGGAGGACCAUCUCCCAACCCUAAAUACUCCUUAGUGACCGAUAGUGAACCAGUACCGUGAGGGAAAGGUGAAAAGAACCCCGAGAGGGGAGUGAAAUAGCACCUGAAACCGUGUGCCUACAAGAAGUUCGAGCCCGUUAAUGGGUGAGAGCGUGCCUUUUGUAGAAUGAACCGGCGAGUUACGUUAUGAUGCGAGGUUAAGUUGAAGAGACGGAGCCGUAGGGAAACCGAGUCUGAAUAGGGCGACUUAGUAUCAUGAUGUAGACCCGAAACCUAGUGACCUAUCCAUGAGCAGGGUGAAGGUGUGGUAAGACGCACUGGAGGCCCGAACCAGGACACGUUGAAAAGUGUUUGGAUGACUUGUGGAUAGCGGAGAAAUUCCAAACGAACUGGGAGAUAGCUGGUUCUCUCCGAAAUAGCUUUAGGGCUAGCGUCGAAAUGUAAGUGUAUUGGAGGUAGAGCACUGUUUGGGUGAGGGGUCCGUCUAGGAUUACCAAUCUCAGAUAAACUCCGAAUGCUAAUACACAUGUUCGGCAGUCAGACUGCGAGUGCUAAGAUCCGUAGUCGAAAGGGAAACAGCCCAGACCAACAGCUAAGGUCCCAAAAUAUAUGUUAAGUGGAAAAGGAUGUGGGGUUGCACAGACAACUAGGAUGUUAGCUCAGAAGCAGCUAUCAUUCAAAGAGUGCGUAAUAGCUCACUAGUCGAGUGACCCUGCGCCGAAAAUGUACCGGGGCUAAACAUAUUACCGAAGCUUUGGAUUGAUAUUUUAUCAAUGGUAGGAGAGCGUUCUUAACCGCGAUGAAGGUAUACCGUGAGGAGUGCUGGAGCGUUAAGAAGUGAGAAUGCCGGUAUGAGUAGCGCAAGAUAAGUGAGAAUCUUAUCCACCGUAAGACUAAGGUUUCCAGGGGAAGGCUCGUCCGCCCUGGGUUAGUCGGGACCUAAGGCGAGGCCGAAAGGCGUAGUCGAUGGACAACUGGUUGAUAUUCCAGUACUAGAUAUGAUCGUGAUGGAGGGACG